rnacentral:lncRNA from 1 species
AUGUCUUAUCUGGAUCCUCUCACCUUCCUUUUACUUUUGUGCCCUUGCCUCCCUUCUCCCUCUUUCCUGCUCUCCUCUUCCAUUCUCCCUUGUCCCCCAAGCUCUCCCAUUUCCAUUAUCCUUAUCAUCCUGCUCUCCCCUUCCUUUCUCCCUUAUUACCCUCCCCUCUCCUUCUCCCUCGUGAUCUCCUUCUCCUCUUCUUUCUGCCCUUGUCUCCCACCUCUUCCUUUUCCUCUUCUCUGGUUCUCCCCCCUUCUCCUUGCCUUCUCCCUGGUACUACCUUCACCUUCACCCUUCCCUUCUCCCUGGGUGCCCCAGUCCCCUUUUUCUUUGCUUCUCCCUGCCUCCUCCUCUCCCCUUUCCUUCUCCUUUGCCCUCUUCUUCUCUCCUCCUCGUCCUGGACUUCCCUCUCUUCUCCCUUCUUUCAUUUCCCCUUCACUUCCUUUCUCUUCUUCCCUUCUCCCUCGUCUCCCUCCCUUCUUUCUUUUUUCCCAGAUUCCCUCUUCCCUCUUUUCUCCCCUUUUCCCUUAUCCCUCUGCUCCCUCUUUUCCCCUUCCUUCUCCCUCGUCUCCCUUCUUCUCCCGGUCCUCUGGACCCGCUCCUCCGUUUCCCUUCUCCUUGUUCCCUUGCACGCUCCUCUCCCCUUCCCUUCUUCCAUUCCCUUCUCUUCCUCCCUCCUUUCCCCUGCUGUUUUCCUUUUUCUUCCUUCCUGGUCCCCCUCCUCCUCUACUUUUCCCCGUGUCCCCUUGGCCCCUCCCUUCCCGUUCUAGUCUCCUUCAUCCCUCCUGUUCUUUUUCCCUCUCCCUCUUUCUGUCCCCUCCCCCUCCUCGUACCCUCUUACUCUUCCGGCCAGCUCGCACCCCCUUAGGCUCCGAGUUCUUUGCACACUGCCGGGUGAAGCGCGCGCCCACUCUACGUCCAGCCCAGUUAGGUUCCUUCCAGGAGACGGGUCGCGCUCUGGGACAUCUCAGUGGCUUCGCCUCCGCCGCACACUGCGCUUGCGCAGCGUCUGUCAGCAGCACCUGCAGCUCUCUCGGUUUCCUGCUUCCAGGGCGGCGCAUCCGGGUCACUUCAGUGGUGCUGCCGCUGCUGCGGCUGCAGCUGCUUUUCCUUCUGCUCUUGGGACCGCCGCAUUCCCCUGGAUCGGCUGGCCAGCGAGGAAGGGGCUCCCAGCUCUAG